rnacentral:rRNA from 1 species
GAUGAAAGAGCUUGCUCUUUUAUUAAUUUCAGUGGCAAACGGGUGAGUAACACGUAAACAACCUGCCUUAAGGAUGGGGAUAACAGACGGAAACGACUGCUAAUACCGAAUACGUUCUAAGCAUCGCAUGGUGCAUAGAAGAAAGGGUGGCCUCUACAAGAAAGCUAUCGCCUUAAGAGGGGUUUGCGACUGAUUAGGUAGUUGGUGAGGUAACGGCUCACCAAGCCGACGAUCAGUAGCCGGUCUGAGAGGAUGAACGGCCACACUGGAACUGAGACACGGUCCAGACUCCUACGGGAGGCAGCAGUGGGGAAUCUUCCGCAAUGGACGAAAGUCUGACGGAGCAACGCCGCGUGAACGAAGAAGGUCUUCGGAUUGUAAAGUUCUGUGAUUCGGGACGAAAGGGUUUGUGGUGAAUAAUCAUAGACAUUGACGGUACCGAAAAAGCAAGCCACGGCUAACUACGUGCCAGCAGCCGCGGUAAUACGUAGGUGGCAAGCGUUGUCCGGAAUUAUUGGGCGUAAAGCGCGCGCAGGCGGUUUCUUAAGUCCAUCUUAAAAGCGUGGGGCUCAACCCCAUGAGGGGAUGGAAACUGGGAAGCUGGAGUAUCGGAGACGAAAGUGGAAUCCUAGUGUAGCGGUGAAAUGCGUAGAGAUU